AGCUCAGCGGGGGAAGCGCCUCUGACUGAUCGCGGUUGGCGCGUGCUCCCGACAGGCUGUGCGCGGCCGCGAAGCUUCCACCGGCUCAUGAGGCGCUCACAGCCGGUGAGCGCGCGGGAGGUCACAUGGCGAGGGUGCACGAUGCUCACAAAUGCGAGGAACCUAAGGUCACGAAGGAGCUCAGCGACCUUGCCCAGGUCUGCAGCAGCGAGCCGCCUACGAUCCUGCCAGAACCACCCUGGACACGGCGGCCGCGCCAGUCUUCAGUCUCCCCGCCCCCUCGCCCCGGCUCCCAGCCCGCAGGACAAAGGCUGCGGGGCCGUCCAAGCAGCUCAGGGAGGUAGCAACGGCGCCGCAACACGGGGUCUCAGCAACAAAAAACGCGCAGAGGUCGCCUCGCUGGACCCGGGCGGCCCACGGACGAGGACCCGAGGCUUGGUGACUCUAAUAUGGACACAGAAAAGUACUAACCUGGAGAGAUUACAGAAUCACUGGGAUUUCCUUCUUCCCCUGCAUUGAAAAUGACAAGAUGCCCUCUACCACCCCCAACAAAGGCUAUUAGGAAUUUGUGUACAAAGACCCUCAUGUGUUGCUGCUGGGAAUGUGAAAUGGAGAAGAGUUUGGUGGUAAGCCAAAAUGACCAUAUGACAUCUUGAAAUAAAUUUCUA